CAAUAUAGUUUAAUUUCCAGCCAAGAUCAGAGUUAACCGAGACAUAUAUGGUGGAUAAAAAGCUCUUAAAAAUAUGGGUGUUCCGAGGAAAGUAUACCACUAGGGAAUGUGGGUUACAUUAGUAAUGGAGGAAUAUUUUGACAGCAGACGAAACUAAAGUGUUGCCAUGGUGACGGUGGUGGUGGGCAUGAUACAGAUGCGGGAGCUGGAAUUUGUGCCCGAUGGAGACAUGCAGCUGGACAAAUUCUGUUGCUCAUUGGUCAGACUGGAGUUUACAUGUGUACCUCCUUCACCAUCAUUGGUGGACACUUCACCAUGAGUGAUGCUUGAGCUGUCACGGUGCUGCUGCUGUUGUCUGCCAUCAUCCCCCUGACACAGACCACCCUGCAGACCACCUUCAUCCUGGGUGCCACACGUCACUGCUGCUACAACUCAGAGCAACUGGAGCGCAAGCCAGGAAGGGAGAUGGUUACCUUCUUGUUGAUGUGCAAUCUUGCUACGUGGGCGAUCAACAUUUAAAAAUAGCAAUGUGGUGCUUCCUUAAUGCAAAUAGUCUUGGCCCAAAAAACUUGUGAUGUCAAACACUGACUUCUCUUAAAUCUUACUAAAAUGUAUGCGCAUCACUUUCUGAUUUCAUCCCAAUGGCACACAAACCAAAAUACCUGAGUAUGGAGAUGGCUGGACUACCUCCUUUGGCCACCCCUGUUAUAUCUUAAUUUCCCAGUCUUUCCUGUGUGCUGGUUAAGCUACUCACUGCUGAAGUCCCUGGAAACUAGGUAGAAUAAUUUAGAAUGACAUGGUUAAGUUAAUGCUGAUAAAAUCUCAUUUGUAAUAUUCAGGAAGACUGAAUUAUUCUUCCUCUGUUGAAGCAAAUGAUAUAACAUUGACUAGAAGCUUUCACAAUAUUUAUAAGCUUUCUUGUAUCAGAGAUCUUUUGAAAAUCCAACCAUUAAUUUGUAAAUACUUGUAUAGUGUAGCUGGCAUGAGGGUUGCAGUCUUCAUUAUUUACUAGUGGACAAGCAACAAGUGAUGGUGUGGCUCUGAGCCACUGUAGUAGGGAUGUUAUGGUUUAAGUGUAGGAAGUUGCAAAUGCUCACCUAACAAUUGCACCUUAGUAGAAAAACACAAACAGGAAGUUUAUGCAAGUUUUUAUCCUUAUAUAAAAUGUUGUAUUGCAUCAAACCUCCAUACAUUACUGUCUCUAUCCAGUAUGAGACCGGUGUUCAGGAAGCACAAGCAUGUGCUGAAUAACAAGAAGCCGGCAUUGGUGAAGGUGACAACAUUUCAUCUAUUUAUACAUACUUUUUAUUAUUAAAGCUUAUCUUAUAAUUAUUUCUGAAGAGAUUGACUAAUUUUUGUAGUAUUUAUGACUUAGAACUAUGAUAAAGCUAUGAAUUGAUAUAAUUCCUGAUUUGU